ensembl:lncRNA
AGAUAUCAUCUCAUCAUUUCAAGAUAUAUCUCAUCAUUUCAAGUUCGGAGAGGAGUUCGGGAAGGCCCGACGCGACUUAUUCGGAAUUUAAAGCGGCCAGAUUUGCUGGACGAGCCGUCUGAUCCGAGCGUACCUGUUGUGAAAUCAGCUGUUUUGAUGUAAGAGAUAUCUGGAAACACUUUGCCCUUGAUGAAACGAGUCGAGUCCUGGAAUAAUUGGGAUCUGAUUCUCAAAGUGCAUCAUCCUUGUAAUCCAGCUACUGUUUCCUCCCUUCAGAUAUAUUCGUAUAUUGUUAUAUCGUUGCCGUGCCAACAGCUUCUCGGGUUAUAAAACCCCGGAGAGCGGUUACGGAGCAC